UUAUCUCUUAGUUCGUUCUUUAAUGACAAGCGCAAGUAUUUUGUGCCUCGUUUGCUGGCUGCAAUGAUGGCUACAGUCGACGGAGUUCGAUACCUCGUACUAGGGUUUGUCCAUUCUCGCCUCGUCGCAGAAUCUUGCGAUGAAACCCACUCUGCUUACGGCAGCCAUUCCCGUUUGUCUCCUCUCCGCUCGAUGAUGUCUUCUGUUUCGGGAGAAUGGGAAGGAAUCAUGCAUGAAUGGGUUUUCGAGGUGGGAUCAUGAAAACCCCUUUUUGCCCGCUUUCCAAGCUGUCGGUGACUGCCGAUUGCUUCCUUGUGAACCGCUCCAAAGAGAGGGUGGCUUGGAGAUGCAUUCCAGCAUCUACGAGUACCAAAUUCCGAGGGAAAAAUCUCGAGGAGGGAUUGAUGAACAAUUUUAAGAAUGCUCCGGAAUACCUGUAUAUUUGGCCUUGCUACUUCAUAAGCGGACAUAUCCAUCACAGAAGAUAAACCUGCAAGGAAGCAAGUAGAAAAAGCUAUAAAGAAAGCAUUUCAUCAGCAGGAAAUUACCCUGACAGUCAAGGAUGUAUAGUUUAACAGGCAUGAAAGGGCCAUCAAGGUUCAGUAUGAGUGCCAGUAUUAUCGUGGAGGCCUUUGAGGAUAUGGAAGUUUCCAGAAUGGGAAGAUGGAGAUGGUGGAUCAGAAACCAAGCCGUCUGACAUAUUAGCUGUAAGUAAACUGGUUCAGAUAUCUCAGAUAUGCUGAUCUUAAGGAACACUUUUUCAAACUGUACUUUUUAAACAUAGAUGCUACUUCUAGACUGUCUUUUCAUGUUGCACUCUUUCUAUUUGGAUAAUUAAAUAAAUCUUAUAUCUCUACAUACAUUCGAUAAGACAUACAAGGCUAGUAUGUAUUUUUAUGAGUAAACAUUGUGCUGUGUUUGUCUCUCUGAACCACUUGUCAUAAUGACAAUACUAUAUAGUAGAUGAAUUCUUUGAUAUCUAUUUACUAUUGUUUAUCAACUCAUCAUAAUCACCAGACACACAUUGGUAAGAGCCUCAUGCACUGAGCUGGCCAACAUGAUUUGAUUGGGUCAAGCGAAGCUGACCUGAGGUCAAUUGCAUUUAUUUAUAUUUCUACCUUUUUUAGGAUUCUCAUGUAAUUUUUGUCCUUUUUGCAUUGCUUCAAUAUGAGCUAUGUACAAGAGGGUUACAGUCAGGUUGCGAUUCAGUGUUCUACCCAUAUCUGAUUUCAACUCUGGAUGCCCUUGUUCUUUAAUUGAAUGGCUUCAGAGGACUCCAAGCUUAUUGACUGAUUUGAUUCUAUUUAUGAGAGUCAAAAGUAAAUCAAAUAAGCAUCUACCUGUCACACCUUUGAAAAGGUGACUAUGUCGGAACCUUAUUUAUUUUUGUCUGUGGAGCCUAUAUUGUCUUUUUGUUUGUCUUACAAUAUACAUCAGAGAAUAUCACUCAUUUUCUAGUUGGCUUAUUAUUACUGUGUGACAAAUUAGGAGUUGUUAAUGAUAAGUAGCUUUUGUAUCUAUAGGCCAAGUGGCUUUAUAUGUCCUGAUAUUUGACUUUAUUCUUGUUGGUAUCAACAUCUUUACGCCGUGGCCUUGGGGCCAAUACGGUUGGGUUCGGGUCUGAAUGAUUGGAGAUCUUCCUGAACGACCCUUGAGACUGCUGAGAUAGCCGACCGCGGUGGUUCGAUCGCGACGGGGUCAUUGUUUUCUUCGGGAGGGGACCCCUCGCUUGGGCAUUCGGUGGGAAGCACUUCGUCUUCGUCCCUGCACACAGGUCGGGUCGGGAGAGCUCGGCCCGACCCCUCCGACGAUCAAGGAGUAGAGUCGUACCUUGGAUAACGUCUGACACCGGCAUUGGAGUUGCGUGAAGGACAGGGCUCCUGUAGGAUGGCGACGUGCCUCGGUCGACGUUUUGGUCUGCUUCGGCCAGGCGUUGUCAGGUCAGACCGAGGCAAGCGACCCCCGUAACUCCUCGGUCUGCCUGACCUAGGAGACAUCACCCGGGAGCAUGUGACGUUAGUUCGUGUCCCAUCAUUAUUAUUACCCUCAUCAAUUCUUCUUUUUUUUUCCUUCUAGUUAUUGUCAAUCAUGUCUUAUAUUUGAACUUGUUAUACUCCUAUCCUUGCUCAUGUUUUUUACCAUCAUAUUACGUUUUGAAACGACAUUUGCUCA